rnacentral:rRNA from 1 species
AGGACGAACGCUGGCGGCGUGCUUAACACAUGCAAGUCGAGCGAGGCUCCUCCUUCGGGAGGAUGUCCUAGCGGCGAACGGGUGAGUAACACGUGGGCAACCUGCCCCUAGCACUGGGAUAACCCCGGGAAACCGGGGCUAAUACCGGAUAUCACUUCGGAAGGCAUCUUCUGAAGUUGAAAGGGUUACUGGCUAGGGAUGGGCCCGCGGCCUAUCAGCUUGUUGGUGGGGUAACGGCCUACCAAGGCGACGACGGGUAGCCGGCCUGAGAGGGCGACCGGCCACGACUGGGACUGAGACACGGCCCAGACUCCUACGGAAGGCAGCAGUGGGGAAUAUUGCACAAUGGGCGAAAGCCUGAUGCAGCGACGCCGCGUGAGGGAUGACGGCCUUCGGGUUGUAAACCUCUUUCAGCAGGGACGAAGCGAAAGUGACGGUACCUGCAGAAGAAGCACGGCCAACUACGUGCCAGCAGCCGC